rnacentral:tRNA from 1 species
GUGAAAUUGGUAGACACGCUGCUCUAGAGCAUCUCGGUUCGAGUCCGAGUAGCGGCA